GAUUAACGCUGGCGGCGUGCAUAACACAUGCAAGUCGAACGAUGAAACUUAGUACACUUCUUCGGAAAGACACUAAGCGGAUUAGUGGCGAACGGGUGAGUAACGCGUGAGUAACCUGCCUUACACAAGGGGAUAGCCUUUGGAAACGAAGAAUAAUACCCUAUAACACCAUAAAAUCACAUGCUAGAAUGGUCAAAGUGAUAGCGGCGUAAGAUGGACUUGCGUCUGAUUAGCUAGUUGGUGGGGUAAAAGCUCACCAAGGCAACGAUCAGUAGCUGGCAUGGGGGCGUGUACGGCACCACUGCGGCUGGCACAAGUCCCAGAUCUCUACGAGUGGGAGCAGUGGUGAAUGAUGAACAAUGGGUGAAAGCCUGAGGCCGCGACGCCGCGUGAUUUUGAUGGCCUGCGGGUAGUAAAAAUUUUUUGUAUAGGAAGAAAAUGACAGUACCAUACGAAUAAGGUCCGGCUAAUUACGUG
rnacentral:rRNA from 1 species